CAGGAGAUAGUUUAUACAGAAUAUCAGCUUUGGGUGCUGAUGGUAGGGCUUAGAGCCUUUCUCUUGA
rnacentral:tRNA from 1 species